AACUCUACAGGAACAAGGAGCUGGUUGAUAAUUUAUAGCAACAUCUCAAAUUUAAAUGGAAAGUAAAUAGCAUGCUGUUAGCAUUAAAGAAAACCCAAUCGGGGCAGGCGGGAAGCACUCCAGCCUCCUUGCAAGCUUGGGGCACCUCAUUCUCUCCCGUGCCCCUUCUCCCAGCUGCGUCUGAGCCCCCGCCCCCCGGCUCCUCCGUUCCGCUUCUCCCAGCUUCUCUCUCCAUCUCCCCCGAUGGCCUCUUUCUACACUCUCUGCCUCAGCUUCCAGGUCUCUGCUGGUCCCUAGGAAGCACUUUGACCUCUGCUUCCCCUUCAAAUGCUGUGGAUCAAGGCUCCCCCAACCCCACCAUCCCACCAAAGGGGGCUGCUGACCGAGAGAGCUCACUCACUCAGGUAAGAAAGCAUCCCCUGCCCCCACCCUCACCCCAAAGCCCCCAGUCCCAUCUGGGGCCCUGGGCAGGUCUGGCCCAGCCCCACCCCGUCGAGUUGCCUUCGCCCUGGGUCUGGGAUGCCUGACUCUUUGCCCCUCCCCUGCAGCUCUAGAGUCCUUUGCCCUCCUCUUCCUGCCAAGUCAGGGGGCCCUGACUGCUCCCCUGCCCCCUGUCCAGGCCCUCGGGAGGCUCCCUGAGACCUCUGGGAAGCAGGAAUCCACCAGCCCUCCCCCACCCUAGCUGGGAUCAGGACCUUGGACAGAAAAGAGAUGGGCCCCUUCAGAGCAUCUUUGGGACUCGCUGUCUCUCUGACUCCCUGGCCACCCCCUGCAGGCCUCUGGCCCCUCAUCAUAGCAAUUGAGAGCAGCAAACAGAGUAGGUUUGGGGCCUCCGUUGGGUGAACUUAGUCCAGCUCCUUCCCCGCUCUAAGCCCCGGUUUCCCCAUUUGUGAAGCAGAGUCACUCAUAGCUUCUGCCCAGGAUUUCUCUCACCAUGAAGGGAAAUUAUUCCCGUGAAACCUCAGCACAGCGCCCAGGAAGUAGUGAACCUCCCCAAGCAGGUGCUGUAGGGUGAAGGUCAGGGAGCCCCUGGGGAGGGGUGGCCCCUGCAGCCCCCAGGCCACCCUUCCUUCUCCCCUACACCCCCAUCCCCCACCCCCACUAGGUGGGAGGUGGGUUGGCCCAGAUCUUUCCAGGCCACCAUUUCCACAAGUUAAUGAUCACAGACCUUAUCAGAGCCUUUCGCCGUUUAUAAAUUUAUAAAACAAAAGAGAAAUAAUAAAGCAUGUGGGUAAUUAGUAACUAGGUCAGCUCUGCUGAGGAGAGGGGAGGCAUCGAGCUCAGGACCCACCCAGUUCUCCAGGAGACGGGGAGUCCGCCAGUGGAUGGGAAUGUAGAACGGGGAGCCUCUAAUGGCGCCUGCCGGUGAGGUGGGGUGCCUGUGGCCACACAGGAAAGGGGAGCAGCUCCCACCUCGAGGCUCUGUCUGCCUCAGAUGUCCCACCGAUGGCCGAGUGCCAGUUAGUCACGGCCUCAGUGCAAGACCUCAUCCCUCCCAGAAAGCCGUGGCUCCGGACUCCACCCACUGAAAACAGGGCUUCUGUGGGACUGCAACGGGACAUGAAGAAAAACAUGCUGAACCUGGUCUCCAUGGGACCUGAGGUGCGAGUCACAUUCAUUCACAUCCCUGGCUUGGAGCCUCUCCACUCACAAGUUAUUGAUAAUUGAAAAAAUAAAACAACAUGCGAUUGUAUU